UAGAUGAGUGGGUACUUGCG
rnacentral:misc_RNA from 1 species